UGCAGUCGGGCGGUAGCACAGAGGAGCUUGCUCCUUGGGUGACGAGCGGCGGACGGGUGAGUAAAGUCUGGGGAUCUGCCUGAUGGAGGGGGAUAACUACUGGAAACGGUAGCUAAUACCGCAUGACGUCUUCGGACCAAAGUGGGGGACCUUCGGGCCUCACGCCAUGAGAUGAACCCAGAUGGGAUUAGCUGGUAGGUGAGGUAACGGCUCACCUAGGCGACGAUCCCUAGCUGGUCUGAGAGGAUGACCAGCCACACUGGAACUGAGACACGGUCCAGACUCCUACGGGAGGCAGCAGUGGGGAAUAUUGCACAAUGGGGGAAACCCUGAUGCAGCCAUGCCGCGUGUGUGAAGAAGGCCUUCGGGUUGUAAAGCACUUUCAGCGGGGAGGAAGGCAAUAAACUUAAUAAGUUUGUUGAUUGACGUUACCCGCAGAAGAAGCACCGGCUAACUCCGUGCCAGCAGCCGCGGUAAUACGGAGGGUGCAAGCGUUAAUCGGAAUGACUGGGCGUAAAGCGCACGCAGGCGGUCUGUUAAGUUGGAUGUGAAAUCCCCGGGCUCAACCCGGGAACAGCAUUCAAAACUGACAGGCUAGAGUCUCGUAGAGGGGGGUAGAAUUCCAGGUGUAGCGGUGAAAUGCGUAGAGAUCUGGAGGAAUACCGGUGGCGAAGGCGGCCCCCUGGACGAAGACUGACGCUCAGGUGCGAAAGCGUGGGGAGCAAACAGGAUUAGAUACCCUGGUAGUCCACGCCGUAAACGAUGUCGACUUGGAGGCUGUGGUCUUGAACCGUGGCUUCCGGAGCUAACGCGUUAAGUCGACCGCCUGGGGAGUACGGCCGCAAGGUUAAAACUCAAAUGAAUUGACGGGGGCCCGCACAAGCGGUGGAGCAUGUGGUUUAAUUCGAUGCAACGCGAAGAACCUUACCUACUCUUGACAUCCAGAGAAGACUGUAGAGAUACGGUUGUGCCUUCGGGAGCUCUGAGACAGGUGCUGCAUGGCUGUCGUCAGCUCGUGUUGUGAAAUGUUGGGUUAAGUCCCGCAACGAGCGCAACCCUUAUCCUUUGUUGCCAGCGAUACGGUCGGGAACUCAAAGGAGACUGCCGGUGAUAAACCGGAGGAAGGUGGGGAUGACGUCAAGUCAUCAUGGCCCUUACGAGUAGGGCUACACACGUGCUACAAUGGCGCAUACAAAGAGAAGCGAGCCUGCGAGGGUAAGCGGACCUCAUAAAGUGCGUCGUAGUCCGGAUUGGAGUCUGCAACUCGACUCCAUGAAGUCGGAAUCGCUAGUAAUCGUAGAUCAGAAUGCUACGGUGAAUACGUUCCCGGGCCUUGUACACACCGCCCGUCACACCAUGGGAGUGGGUUGCAAAAGAAGUAGGUAGCU
rnacentral:rRNA from 1 species